rnacentral:rRNA from 1 species
GACGAGUCUCACGAACGUUAUUCGGAAUUACUGGGCUUAAAGGGUGCGUAGGCGGUGGAGUAAGUCGGAUGUGAAAUACCUUAGCUUAACUAGGGAACUGCAUUCGAUACUACUUUGCUGGAGUAAGACAGAGGUGAGUGGAACUGAGGGUGGAGCGGUGAAAUGCGUUGAUAUCCUCAGGAACACCGGUGGCGAAGGCGACUCACUGGGUCUUUACUGACGCUGAUGCACGAAAGCUAGGGUAGCAAACGGG